AUAAUCAGCACCGGAGUCUCCUCUCAGCUCCUCCCUGGGCACAGCGCAGUGAAAAGAGCGUGAGCUUUGGACUCACACGGGCCUGGAACAGAACUGUGAUCAUGGGUAGUAGUCCCUCUGAGCCUCAGUUUCCUCAUCUAUGAAAUGGGAGCAGUGAUGGCAACUUCACACAAGUGUGGGCAGAGGGGUCGAGAUGACUCGUACAUCCCGCUGACCACAGCAGAGCAUGAUGCUGUCACCUUUCUACUGUUCGACUUCAAAAUUGCAACUGUUCUACAUCAGUAAGAACAAAGGUGGGAGGAAGAGCCUGGAGGAAAUCCCUUGGCCGGCUGUCGGAUAGCUGUGCCGGGGCCCAAGAACUCUACCUCGUGGCUUCUGAGCAGGCAAGUUUGGUCCAGAGGGUUUGCUGCUGCUGGU